rnacentral:rRNA from 1 species
AAGCGGUGGAGCAUGUGGUUCAAUUCGAAGCAACGCGCAGAACCUUACCUGGGCUUGACAUGCUAGGAUUAUCCCUAUGAAAGUAGGGUAGGCCCUUCGGGGUACAGCUAGUACAGGUGCUGCAUGGCUGUCGUCAGCUCGUGUCGUGAGAUGUCGGGUUAAGUCCCUUAACGAGCGAAACCUUUGCCCUUAGUUACCAUCGGGUUAUGCCGGGGACUCUAAGGGGACUGCCGGUGUCAAACCGGAGGAAGGUGGAGAUG